ACCUGGCUGGCUCAGUUGGUAGAGCAUGUGACUUGAAAUCUCGGGGUCAUGGGUUCAAGCCCCACCUUGGGUA